UUGACGGGGCCCGCACAGGCGGUGGAGCAUGUGGUUUAAUUCGAUCGCAACGCGAAGAACCUUACCUGGGCUUGACAUCCGGGAAUCCCCUGGAAACAGGGGAGUGCCUUCGGGGAACCCGUGACAGGUGCUGCAUGGCUGUCGUCAGCUCGUGUCGUGAGAUGUUGGGUUAAGUCCCGCAACGAGCGCAACCCUUGUCUUUAAUUGCCAUCAUUUAGUUGGGCACUUUAAAGAGACUGCCGGUGUUAAGCCGGAGGAAGUGGGAUGACGUCAAGUCCUCAUGGCCUUUAUGCCCAGGGCUACACACGUGCUACAAUGGCCGGUACAGACGGAGGCGAAGCCGCGAGGCGGAGCAAAUCCGAAAAAGCCGGUCUCAGUUCGGAUUGCAGGCUGCAAUUCGCCUGCAUGAAGGCGGAAUCGCUAGUAAUCGCAGGUCAGCAUACUGCGGUCGAAUACGUUCCCGGGCCUU
rnacentral:rRNA from 1 species